ACUACGGGAGGCAGCAGUGGGGAAUAUUGCACAAUGGGGGAAACCCUGAUGCAGCGACGCCGCGUGAGUGAAGAAGUAUUUCGGUAUGUAAAGCUCUAUCAGCAGGAACGAGACAAGACGGUACCUGACUAAGAAGCCCCGGCGAACUACGUGCCAGCAGCCGCGGUAAUACGUAGGGGGCAAGCGUUAUCCGGAAUCACGGGGGGUAAAGGGAGCGUAGACGGCUGAGCAAGCCUGAAGUGAAAGGCGGGGGCCCAACCCCUGGACUGCUUUGGGAACUGUACGGCUGGAGUGCAGGAGAGGUAAGUGGAAUUCCUAGUGUAGCGGUGAAAUGCGUAGAUAUUAGGAGGAACACCAGUGGCGAAGGCGGCUUACUGGACUGUAACUGACGUUGAGGCUCGAAAGCGUGGGGAGCAAACAGGAUUAGAUACCCGGGUAGUC
rnacentral:rRNA from 1 species